AUAAAUACCUGGUGGGGAGAUACCAUGAUCACGAAGGUGGUUUUCCCAGGGUGAGGCUUAUUCAUUGCACUCCAGAUGUGCUGACCCCUGCAAUUUCCCCAAAUAUGGGAAACUCAGCUGCAUAAUUUGUGGUAGUGGGGGACUGCAUUCUCGCUUUCCUCUU
rnacentral:snRNA from 1 species